rnacentral:rRNA from 1 species
GACGAACGCUGGCGGCGUGCUUAACACAUGCAAGUCGAACGGAAAGGCCCUGCUUUUGUGGGGUGCUCGAGUGGCGAACGGGUGAGUAACACGUGAGUAACCUGCCCUUGACUUUGGGAUAACUUCAGGAAACUGGGGCUAAUACCGGAUAGGAGCUCCUGCUGCAUGGUGGGGGUUGGAAAGUUUCGGCGGUUGGGGAUGGACUCGCGGCUUAUCAGCUUGUUGGUGGGGUAGUGGCUUACCAAGGCUUUGACGGGUAGCCGGCCUGGGAGGGUGACCGGCCACAUUGGGACUGCGAUACGGCCCAGACUCCUACGGGAGGCAGCAGUGGGGAAUAUUGCACAAUGGGCGGAAGCCUGAUGCAGCAACGCCGCGUGCGGGAUGACGGCCUUCGGGUUGUAAACCGCUUUCGCCUGUGACGAAGCGUGAGUGACGGUAAUGGGUAAAGAAGCACCGGCUAACUACGUG